rnacentral:lncRNA from 1 species
CAUAAUUUGUAAAAGAAUAUCAUGACCAAACUAGCCAUACCAAGAAACAAAUCAGUAUAACUUUAUUAUAUUGAUUAUUGUGGGGGAAAUUAUACCGAAAAAUAAUGAUAAUAACAAUACUUCAAUAAUAUUAUUUGUGAGCGAAAAUACAUAAAUUGGCUUGAGUCAUGCUGGCACUGUCUUAAGAAAUUAUUUCAGCAUGUGAAAUGUUCCCCCAAGAUUGAACAAGCCUACUUCUAUUUGGGAGGAUACAAGAAUAAGCAAAAUUAAAUAUUACAAACACAGCAAUUUAAAAGAGGGGAACAAAGAAAUUAAACUGCUAAACUUUGAGAAGGAAAAAAACUACAAAAGAAAGCUUAUGAAGACAAAAAGUUUGAAGGAAAGUAGAAAAGGGAUUUUUGC